rnacentral:rRNA from 1 species
GAUGAACGCUGGCGGCGUGCCUAAUACAUGCAAGUCGAGCGAACGGACGAGAAGCUUGCUUCUCUGAUGUUAGCGGCGGACGGGUGAGUAACACGUGGAUAACCUACCUAUAAGACUGGGAUAACUUCGGGAAACCGGAGCUAAUACCGGAUGAUAUUUUGAACCGCAUGGUUCAAAAGUGAAAGACGGUCUUGCUGUCACUUAUAGAUGGAUCCGCGCUGCAUUAGCUAGUUGGUAAGGUAACGGCUUACCAAGGCAACGAUGCAUAGCCGACCUGAGAGGGUGAUCGGCCACACUGGAACUGAGACACGGUCCAGACUCCUACGGGAGGCAGCAAUAGGGAAUCUUCCGCAGUGGGCGAAAGCCUGACGGAGCAACGCCGCGUGAGUGAUGAAGGUCUUCGGAUCGUAAAACUCUGUUAUUAGGGAAGAACAUAUGUGUAAGUAACUGUGCACAUCUUGACGGUACCUAAUCAGAAAGCCACGGCUAACUACGU